GAUGAACGCUAGCGGGAGGCCUAACACAUGCAAGCCGAGCGGUAUUGUUUCUUCGGAAAUGAGAGAGCGGCGUACGGGUGCGGAACACGUGUGCAACCUGCCUUUAUCUGGGGGAUAGCCUUUCGAAAGGAAGAUUAAUACUCCAUAAUAUAUUGAACGGCAUCGUUUAAUAUUGAAAUCUUCGGCGGAUAGAGAUGGGCACGCGGAAGAUUAGCUAGUUGGUGAGGUAACGGCUCACCAAGGCGAUGAUCUUUAGGGGGCCUGAGAGGGUGAUCCCCCACACUGGUACUGAGACACGGACCAGACUCCUACGGGAGGCAGCAGUGAGGAAUAUUGGUCAAUGGGUGCAAGCCUGAGCCAGCCAUCCCGCGUGAAGGACGACUGCCCUAUGGGUUGUAAACUUCUUUUGUAUAGGGAUAAACCUACCCUCGUGAGGGUAGCUGAAGGUACUAUACGAAUAAGCACCGGCUAACUCCGUGCCAGCAGCCGCCGUAA
rnacentral:rRNA from 1 species